UACGAAGGUGGCAAGCGUUACUCGGAAUUACUAGGCGUAAAGGGCAGGUAGGUGGUUUGGUAAGUCUGUUGUGAAAGCUCCUUGCUUAACGGGGAGAGGUCAACAGAUACUGCCAGGCUUGAGUCUAGGAGAGGGUACUGGAAUUCCCGGUGUAGCGGUGAAAUGCGCAGAGAUCGGGAGGAACACCAAUGGCGAAAGCAGGUACCUGGACUAGUACUGACACUCAGCUGCGAAAGCUAGGGGAGCAAACAGG
rnacentral:rRNA from 1 species